rfam:Armatimonadetes bacterium RBG_19FT_COMBO_69_19 rbg_19ft_combo_scaffold_591, whole genome shotgun sequence.
CCCGGUGCCUAUGCCGGAGGGGCCACACCCGUUCCCAUUCCGAACACGGAAGUUAAGCCCUCCAGGGCCGAUGGUACUGUACUGGUAACGGUACGGGAGAGUAGGUCGGUGCCGGGA